rnacentral:rRNA from 1 species
GAUGAACGCUGGCGGCGUGCCUAAUACAUGCAAGUCGAGCGAACAGGCGAGGAGCUUGCUCCUCUGACGUUAGCGGCGGACGGGUGAGUAACGCGUGGAUAACCUACCUAUAAGACUGGGAUAACUUCGGGAAACCGGAGCUAAUACCGGAUAAUAUAUUGAACCGCAUGGUUCAAUAGUGAAAGACGGUUUUGCUGUCACUUAUAGAUGGAUCCGCGCCGCAUUAGCUAGUUGGUAAGGUAACGGCUUACCAACGCAACGAUGCGUAGCCGACCGGCGAGGGGGACAGGCAACACGGGAACAGAGCAAGGGCCGAAUCCCAACGGGGAGAAAGAGAGAGGGAAUAUCCGACAAGGGGAGAAACCAGAACAGAGCAACCCCGGGUGGGGGAAAAAGGUUUUGGGGUCUAAAAACUUGUUUAUGGGGAAAAAAAAAAUGGAGAAGAAACUCCACACGUCGUGAGGGUACCUAAAAAAAAAGCAGCGGAUAACUACGUG